UGGACUAAUGAUGAGAAUGUGUAAUGAACCAAGGAAUAGGACUAAUCCAAUUCUGUGCCCUGGAGGGUCAAAG
rnacentral:snoRNA from 1 species